AUGCUCGCUUCGGCAGCACAUAUACUAAAAUUGCAACGAUACAGAGAAGAUUAGCAUGGCCCCUGGGCAAGGAUGACAUGCAAAUUCGGAAUAUUAGGCAGCCGUCA